UUUUUUUUUGAAACUAAAAGAGAAACGCAUAUUCAUUUAUGACCUCAUACGUUCCGCCCAUGUGUGUGUGUGUGUAUAUAUGUAUAUAUAUAUAUACGUGCACGUGUGGGGUGGUAUGUGUGUUCAGUGGUGGAAGGGCACUCCAAACGCGAAGGUCUCCUUCAAAAAGAUCU
rnacentral:misc_RNA from 1 species